UACGGAGGGUGCUAGCGUUACUCGGAUUUACUGGGCGUAAAGCGUGUGUAGGCGGUUCGUUAAGUCGGGUGUGAAAUCCCUGGGCUCAACCCGGGAAUUGCAUUCGAUACUGGCGAGCUAGAGUACGGUAGAGGGCGGCGGAAUUCCGGGUGUAGCGGUGAAAUGCGUAGAUAUCCGGAGGAACACCGAUGGCGAAGGCGGGUCUCUGGGCAACAACUGACGCUGAGGAGCGAAAGCGUGGGGAGCGAACAGG
rnacentral:rRNA from 1 species